rfam:Nematostella vectensis strain CH2 x CH6 NEMVEscaffold_224_Cont19623, whole genome shotgun sequence.
UAGCUCAGUUGGGAGAGCGUCAGACUGAAGAUCUGAAGGUCGCUGGUUCAAUCCGGA